AGCUGUGAUCACACUAGCACUAAUGCACCAGAACCAUCAGAACUCCACAAUUACGCGUAGUUGGGAGAGAGUAGUACUAGGAUGGGUGAGGUCCUAGGAAGUCCUCGUGUUGCAGCUC
rfam:Lupinus angustifolius cultivar Tanjil contig_1834, whole genome shotgun sequence.